GAGUUUGAUUAUGGCUCAGAUUGAACGCUGGCGGCAUGCUUUACACAUGCAAGUCGAACGGCAGCACGGAAGAGCUUGCUCUUUUGGUGGCGAGUGGCGAACGGGUGAGUAAUACAUCGGAACGUACCGAGUAGUGGGGGAUAACUGUCCGAAAGGAUGGCUAAUACCGCAUAUUCUCUGAGGAGGAAAGCAGGGGACCUUCGGGCCUUGCGCUAUUUGAGCGGCCGAUGUCUGAUUAGCUAGUUGGUGGGGUAAAGGCCUACCAAGGCGACGAUCAGUAGCGGGUCUGAGAGGAUGAUCCGCCACACUGGGACUGAGACACGGCCCAGACUCCUACGGGAGGCAGCAGUGGGGAAUUUUGGACAAUGGGGGGAACCCUGAUCCAGCCAUGCCGCGUGUCUGAAGAAGGCCUUCGGGUUGUAAAGGACUUUUGUCAGGGAAGAAAAGCUUGAGGUUAAUACCCCUUGAGUGAUGACNG
rnacentral:rRNA from 1 species